rnacentral:rRNA from 1 species
GAUGAACGCUGGCGGCGUGCCUAAUACAUGCAAGUCGAGCGAACGGACGAGAAGCUUGCUUCUCUGAUGUUAGCGGCGGACGGGUGAGUAACACGUGGAUAACCUACCUAUAAGACUGGGAUAACUUCGGGAAACCGGAGCUAAUACCGGAUAAUAUUUUGAACCGCAUGGUUCAAAAGUGAAAGACGGUCUUGCUGUCACUUAUAGAUGGAUCCGCGCUGCAUUAGCUAGUUGGUAAGGUAACGGCUUACCAAGGCAACGAUGCAUAGCCGACCUGAGAGAGUGAUCGGCCACACUGGAACUGAGACACGGUCCAGACUCCUACGGGAGGCAGCAGUAGGGAAUCUUCCGCAAUGGGCGAAAGCCUGACGAAGCAACGCCGCGUGAGUGAUGAAGGUCUUCGGAUCGUAAAACUCUGUUAUUAGGGAAGAACAUAUGUGUAAGUAACUGUGCACAUCUUGACGGUACCUAAUCAGAAAGCCACGGCUAACUACGUG